AAACCAACAGGGAUUGCCUUAGUAACGGCGAGUGAAGCGGCAAAAAGCUCAAAUUUGAAAUCUGGUAGUUUUACUGCCCGAGUUGUAAUUUGAAGAACCGGUUCUUGUAGCGCGGCCUUUGUCUAUGUUCCUUGGAACAGGACGUCAUAGAGGGUGAGAAUCCCGUGUGGCGAGGAGUGCGGUUCUUUGUAAAGUGCCUUCGAAGAGUCGAGUUGUUUGGGAAUGCAGCUCUAAGUGGGUGGUAAAUUCCAUCUAAAGCUAAAUAUUGGCGAGAGACCGAUAGCGAACAAGUACAGUGAUGGAAAGAUGAAAAGAACUUUGAAAAGAGAGUGAAAAAGUACGUGAAAUUGUUGAAAGGGAAGGGCAUUUGAUCAGACAUGGUGUUUUGUGCCCUCUGCUCCUUGUGGGUAGGGGAAUCUCGCAUUUCACUGGGCCAGCAUCAGUUUGUGGCAGGAUAAAUCCAUAGGAAUGUAGCUUGCCUCGGUAAGUAUUAUAGCCUGUGGGAAUACUGCC
rnacentral:rRNA from 1 species